CGAAGACUGACGCUCAGGUGCGAAAGCGUGGGGAGCAAACAGGAUUAGAUACCCNGGUAGUCCACGCCGUAAAUNACGUCGAUUUGGAGGUAGUUCCCAAGAUGAGUCGCUUUUGGAGAUAACGCGUUAACUCGACCGCCGGCGGAGUACGGCCGCAACGCGAAUACUCCUCAGAUGAGACGACGGCCCGCACCAGCGGCGGUGCAGCACGUGGAAUUCUUUGAUGCAACGAGAACAACCUUACUUAGUCUUGACAUCCAGAGAAGUUAGCAGAGAUGAUAUUGUGCCUUCGGGAACUGUGAGACAGGUGCUGCAUGGCUGUCGUCAGCUCGUGUUGUGAAAUGUUGGGUUAAGUCCCGCAACGAGCGCAACCCUUAUCCUUUGUUGCCAGCGAUUCGGUCGGGAACUCAAAGGAGACUGCCGGUGAUAAACUGGAGGAAGGUGGGGAUGACGUCAAGUCAUCAUGGCCCUUACGAGUAGGGCUACACACGUGCUACAAUGGCGUAUACAAAGAGAAGCGACCUCGCGAGAGCAAGCGGAACUCAUAAAGUGCGUCGUAGUCCGGAUUGGAGUCUGCAACUCGACUCCAUGAAGUCGGAAUCGCUAGUAAUCGUGGAUCAGAAUGCCACGGUGAAUACGUUCCCGGGCCUUGUACACACCGCCCGUCACACCAUGGGAGUGGGUUGCAAAAGAAGUAGGUAGCUU
rnacentral:rRNA from 1 species